CGCUCACGCACCGCGUCGGCGGCGGCGUCGGCGCUCUCGGUGCCGAAGUAGCUGGUCCAGGCGAGCGGGAUCGCCCCGCCGCCGGCGA
rnacentral:tRNA from 1 species